AUAUUAUUGAUUAUUCUAUUAAAUGUUGAUUUUUUUUCAUAUUUUUUUUUUAAUUGAGAAAGUUCAAAAAAAUUAAUAGUGAAAAUUUAAAGUAUUGGUAUUUUUUUAAUUAUCGAAAUUUUUAAUUUAUGAUAAUAUAUAUAUUUAUGAUAAUAUAUUAUAUAUUAUAUAUUAUAUUAAUAAAAAUAUUAUUCUUUUUUAACUUAUUUCUUUAAUAAUAAUUAACAAAUACAAAUUUUAAAUUAGGUAUAUCAUUUUUCUGCAUGUAUACGAAAUGUUUAAUUUAUACAUAAUGCGAUUUAAAAAUUUAUAGUUUAUAUUCUAACCUAUAUUGAAUAAUUUUUUUUCUUGAUCAUAAAUAUGCAACAAGAGCAUAAAUAAAAAUUUUUGUUAUUCUAUAUAUAGCCUAAAUAAAAAUUUUUGUUUCUAUAUAGAGAAUAUAUAAUUUAUUCUCUAUAUAAAUUCUAUAUAGAGAAUAAAAUAUAUAUUCAAAUAAACAAACCUUAAUAUAAAAAAUUUUUAGUAAUAUGAAACAAAAAACAAAUAUAACAAACAAUCUUUUCAAACUGAGACAUGGCUUACCACCUUUAGCUUCCUGCCAGAUGUCAACUUACCAGUAUACAUAUUUUUUUCAUUUGUUAUCUUCUUAUGAACGAAUAAUUUAUUUGCUAUUUGAAUUAUAUAGUUAUAAAAAACAUGAAUAAAUUCGUGAUAUUUUAAUUGUAAAUAAAUAAAUUUCAUGAUAUAGAAAAAUUAUCAUGACAUAAUAUAAAUUAUAAUAAUCAUAUGUAAAUCAAAUAUUUAUACAUAUAUAGUCAUUUAAAAACUUAUAAAUAUCUUGAAAAUAUCUUAAAAACGUAAAUAUCUAAAUAUGUUGAUGUAUUUUAUCUUUAGUGAUUUUCAAUAGUGCGGUAUGUGUGCUUUGACCAAAUCGACUGAAUUUUUGUGGGAUAGGAGAAAUUUUUGUGGGAAAAAAAGAAGCCUUGAAUAUAAAAUUUUAAUAUAAAAUUUUUAUUAGUUUUCGACAUAUUAAUGAAACAUUUUUAGUAUAAUGAAUAAUUUUUUGAUAAUAUAUGCAUCAGCACGAUUGCUGUUUUUAUAAUAUAUUGCAGUGGUCGGCAAAUUCUGUAUACAAUAAUAAAUAUUAAGAUAAUGAUAUUGUAAUAUUGUAAUAACUUCGAUCAUUAUAAUUUCGAUUGUUUAAAAUUUUUGUAUUUUGAAGAAUCUGUAGAAUGCCAAAGGUUAGCAUUGAAUUUUAAAUUCAUGAUAAUCCAUAAAUAAUCCAUAAAUUUUUAAUCGGUGUACCUGUUAUAUAUUUUGAAUAUCAUCCUCUGCAAUAGAAAUAAUAGAUAAACAUUUUGAUGAUGAUGUGCACUCCAAAAGUGUGCACAUAUAAAAAGAAUUCAAUAUUUGUAUCAAAAGUUUUUUUAUUAAUUUUUCGAAAAUUAAUAAAAAUCUGAUUUUUAUAUUCAGAGCUUUUUUCUCCUUAAAAUUUUAAAAUUUUCAUUUAGACUAAAAAAUGCAUAUUGCUCAAUUUUAAUGAAUUUUAAAAUAUUUUGAAAAUAGCAUCGUUUUCAAUAAAUUUAUUUUCUUUUAUAUAUAAUCAACAAUUAAUUUUAAUUUUCGAAUUAUUCGAAAAAGAUUUUUAGUACUAAUGUGUUAUUGAAGUUUAGUUAUAUUACAGAUAAGAUAUAAAAUAAAUAUAAUAUAACUUGCAUUUUUUUUUCACGAUUUGAAAAUUCUAAAAUUCCCUUAUUUUUAUUAUUUUAAUAUUAUUAGAAUUAUUUCAAUACUUAUAGUUCAGUACAAAAUAAUACCAAUAGUAAAAUAAAAAAUAACUGCAAUAUUUAUAAUGAAAUAAUAAAACUAAAAUAUGAAAUCACGAAAAUAUAAAUUCCGAUGUGAUUUGAAAUAAAUAAAUUUAUAUUAAAAAUAUAUUCUUAUAAAGAUUAUUAUAAAACAGUUAAUUGAAACAAUCAUUUUGCAUAGAAAGUAUUUUAAUUUUUUUUAAUUUUAAUAAUCAUAAGUACAAAAAUAAAUAUCUAUUUUUGAAAAUGUUAAAAAUGAAUAUGAUUAUUUUUUUUCAUUACUUAUAAGAAUUUAAAGAUUCUACAAUAUGUUCAAUUCAAUUGAAAAUGUUCAAAUAUCUAGAAAAAAAUGAAUAAUAUGAAAAAAUAUUUGAAAUAAAAAUUUUGGUAUAAGAAAAUAUAUAAUAGUUUUUGUAUAGAUUGACAUGUAAACAUCAUAUGAAUUUUAAUUUUUUAAAUAUAUAAUUAUUUAUAUAUAAGACAAAAAGUGAUAAUUAUAUAGAUGAUAAUUAUUUAGAAAAGAGUCUUCAUUAAUUUUGAUAAUUUUUGGAUAUAUUGUAGAAAUCAAUAUUUUGAAUAAUUUUUUUCCAUGCAUGUAAUCAGUACUCAGUUUUAAUUUUUAAGAUAUUUGUAAAAAAAUUAUUAUUAUAUAUAUUAUAUAGAAUAUUUUUUUAUAUAAAUAUAUUUAUGUAAAUAUUUAUAGUUUAUGAUUCUUAAAAAUCUAAAAUUUUAACUUGAAGUAUUUAUUAAUUUAAUAAGAUAUAAUAAAAAAUAACAUAUUGAAUUCUAUAUGCAAUAUAUAUAUUAUAUAAAAAUUAUUAAUUAUCUUUAUACUGAUUAUUGUAUUGAUUAUUGUAUAUACUACGAUUAUAAUUAUUGUACAUUAUCAAAUGUAGAAUAACUGCUGACGCAAUACAAUAGAGACUUUAAGCUA